GUCCUGUAGGUGGUAUGAGGUUGGAAAUGUGAUGAAUAUGAAACUGACAUUGUGGUUUAUGAAGAGUUCAACACAGAUCUCUUGUACCGUACUUUGGUAGAAGAAAAGGCGUCACAAAUCCACUGUCCGGUGUGUGAAUAUCAGCAGGCCACGUUCAUCUGGUAUAAGGAUUUCUCUCUUAUUCCAAACCAAGAGUCUGCAAAGGUUUUACGUAUCCGUAACUCUUCAAAAGAAAGCGAGGGUAUUUACACCUGCGUUUGCACCUGGGAGCACAACGGGAUAAAACACAACACCUCUGCAUCUCGCAGACUGGAAGUGAACAGAGCACUCAUCACUCACACUGCGUCCAAAGAAGAUCAGGAUCAAUUCUGUCUGCAGAGACAACGGAUCAAAGACCUCAUCAAGCAAGCCAAAAAGGAAAAGAAGAAGGGCCAGUAGGUGGACGAAUAUCCAACAGCCGAAGAUCGACUCGAAGGCCAACGAGAAGAUCCGAUUGCUUAGACAACAACAAAAAAAUAAUACGAAAUUAAUUUUGCUUAUAAAACAAUCAUAUGCUUUGAAUGCUUUUGCUUCUGGUCUAGAAAAAAUUACUAGCGAGGUGGGGGCUUUAACCACAAGCCCUAGCGCCGUUAGUAACUAACCCUGUGGUUUAACCCUAUGGGUUUAACUGAUUUCCUGUUAAGCUUCUGUAACCCACCCAAAGUAACAGGAAAGGGUUAAAGGGAUAGUUCACCCAAAAAUGAAAAUUAUCCCAUGAUUUACACAUCCUAGGUGUAUAUGACUAUCUUCUUUCAGAUAAACACAAUUGGAGAUAUAUUUAAAAAUAUCCUUAGUCCUCCAAGGUUUAUAAUGGCUGUGAAUGGUAGGCCAAAUUCUAAAGGAAAAAAAGCAUCCAUCCAUAAAAAAUGAAUCCAUACGACUCCAGGGGGUUAAUAAAGGCGUUUGUG